UACGAAGGGGGCUAGCGUUGCUCGGAAUCACUGGGCGUAAAGGGCGCGUAGGCGGCGUUUUAAGUCGGGGGUGAAAGCCUGUGGCUCAACCACAGAAUGGCCUUCGAUACUGGGACGCUUGAGUAUGGUAGAGGUUGGUGGAACUGCGAGUGUAGAGGUGAAAUUCGUAGAUAUUCGCAAGAACACCGGUGGCGAAGGCGGCCAACUGGACCAUUACUGACGCUGAGGCACGAAGGCCAGGGGAGCAAACGGG
rnacentral:rRNA from 1 species